CACAAAGGUAACCUAGCAAAAUCCUGAGCUGGAGGAGAACUGCAGAACACUUGGGGAGAGGAAGGGCUGCCUUCUGCUGGAAGGGCAGGGGGAGAUGUAGGAGGCACCGGUGACAAAUUGCUGGGGCUCAGGUUCUGAGGUGGGGACGCUCUGGUCACUCUGACCCAGCCUGACAUCAUCCCUGCCCGGCCCCAUCCCACCCUGGCACACCAGGCACUCAUGGAGGAGUAAGGAGCUGGUGUUUGCUCAUCUGAAAGGAUUCCUCCACUGGAAAUGGGAAGGGGCAUUUCCCUGAAUCCCUGAAAGCUUUUCCCCCGAGUGCCUGCAGCAGCAGGGCUGUGGGAUGCCACAAAGCCCCGGCUGAGGGAUGGCGGGCACAGGCCCAGAGCCAGAUCAGCUUCAUGUCGAGGUGAGCUUUCUCAUUUGUGAAAUGAGUGGGGGGCCUGAAGAACCGCACACACCGCCACCGUGCCCAGUUUCCAUGUAAAGGAGGAGAUUAACUUUACCACCCAGAAACUUCUGUCCUCACAGGAGUCUGCAGGAACGCUCAUGUUCUUGGCUUUGUAGUCUAGGAUCUCAUCCUAGUCGAGUCCCCUCAGCUUAUGUCAGCUCUUGGAGGGAAGUCAGAAGAUUCCUCUGGGUCUUCCUCGUUCUAUGGUGCUGUUUUUAUUCCUUCCUUUUAGUGUUACUCGUUGUCUUGGGACUUUUUUAUCAGUCUGUGUGCGUCCCAUGAGUCUCUGGUUUCUGUCGUUUACAUAAAAGUCCUUAUGUCCUCCUCAGGGCCCGGCUGAACGCGGUACAGCAGCUUGGGGCAGGGGUACAGUGUUGGCAUGUGGGAGUGUAGGAGCAGUGGAGGCAGGGCCUGGCUGAACACAGAACAAGAAACACGGGGUACAGCAACUUGGGACAGAGCUACAAGGAGCUGUUCUGCAUCCGUGGAGUUGAAAGGGUUUAUGGCUCAUAAAAAGAACUGACAAGCUGUAUUUCAUGAGGAUUAGGCCACAUGCCAAACCCUCCACAGGCUCACAGCUGAGCAGGGGAGGGCAAUGCCCAACUUCAGGAUGCUCUGGCAGCUGUGCCCUGGCCAGAGGCAGGAAAAGGAGAUUGCCACCUGCACUGAAACCUGGAGCUGUGACAUGUGGAUGUCUUGAGCAGUGAUGCUAAAAGUGUAACUUGUGGUCCUUAAAACCCAAUGAAGUACAUGGGACAGCUGAAGCAGAGGUUUCUCUUGUUCCAUGCAUAACAACGUGGGCUAGGAACAGGUUUAUCAAUACCAGCAACAGCACUGCUGCAUGUUCAUUAAUAUUUCUAGUCAAAGCUAUGUAUCUAUCCCAUAAACUCAUGGAAAGUUUCAGCUUUGUAGCAAGGGGCAGAGAAAUAAAAUCAUGAAGAAUGUUUUGGAUUUGGCA
rnacentral:lncRNA from 1 species